GGAAUAUUAAGAUAUCAUAGGUAUAUUUGAAAUGGUUCUUUGAUCUACUUUGUUAUUUCCACUUUCAAAAGAAAUAACUAGUGAUGAAGGCCGUCAAUCGCCAUGCUCUUUAAGAACAUAAUUCUUUUAGCAUCAUUUACUCAUUUAGAGAAACAAACAAGAAGUAAACACAGUCAUAAAUUAAAUUGUGAACCAAAGUGAGGUGUGGAUCAAUUAACAGCAAUCGAAGCAGUCCUUUUAUCAAUUUUCUACCCUUAAUUUGCUAGACGCCAUUAGAACAUAUAAUCACGCUUGUGCAUCAAAUGAAGCUAU
rnacentral:misc_RNA from 1 species